rnacentral:rRNA from 1 species
GCGUGCUUACACAUGCAAGUCGAACGGUAAGGCCCCUUCGGGGGUACACGAGUGGCGAACGGGUGAGUAACACGUGGGUAAUCUGCCCUGCACUUCGGGAUAAGCCUGGGAAACUGGGUCUAAUACCGGAUAUGAACUCCUGCCGCAUGGUGGGGGUUGGAAAGUUUUUCGGUGCAGGAUGAGCCCGCGGCCUAUCAGCUUGUUGGUGGGGUAAUGGCCUACCAAGGCGACGACGGGUAGCCGGCCUGAGAGGGUGAUCGGCCACACUGGGACUGAGACACGGCCCAGACUCCUACGGGAGGCAGCAGUGGGGAAUAUUGCACAAUGGGCGAAAGCCUGAUGCAGCGACGCCGCGUGGGGGAUGACGGUCUUCGGANUGUAAACCCCUUUCAGUAGGGACGAAGCGCAAGUGACGGUACCUGCAGAAGAAGCACCSGCUAACUACGUGCCAGCAGCCGCGGUAAUACGUAGGGUGCGAGCGUUGUCCGGAAUUACUGGGCGUAAAGAGCUCGUAG